GUCCGACGCGAGCGGCAGAAAUUCGGGCGUAUAUGCCUGGGGCCGAAGCGUAGGGAAGAGACGGAGGCCACGGGAUGGCGCGCUGGGCCGUGGACCAGGACGUGAACCUUUUUGCCGAGCCAGGGAUCAGAUAAUGGUCCAGGACGGAAGUCUCGCUUGACCGCUAUCCCCGCUCUCUUCUCGUUCUGCGGCUGUUUGUUGCGGCGGCGCUCGUUCUUUGCCGUCGACGGCGAGGGAAUGGAUGGGUCUGGUAUGGAGUUCCUGCUGGACACCGUCGACAGGUUCCCGCUAUAAGAGAGGAGUUGGCUGGCAACCUUGAGCAGCCAGAUCCGGUUCCCCUCGUUCUCCUUUCAGACAACGGAGCCCGUCUUGUGGGAUUCAAAUGCUGGGUCUGGUAUGGCUGAAAAGGUCGGAGAAGAUGGCCCAGAUAGAGCGCGGCAGUACUGGAGCGCGGGAAGCUGUGCGCCCUCGCCGUGAUGCAUCUCCGACGAGGUCGGUGCAGUCGAUCGACAGAGUCAAUCCAGAGGCCCCUGGCUGGACUAAAAGGCUUUGUCUAGGGAGUGAGCCACCAGACCGGGCACCAUGUCCUUUUCGGAUGAGCGCUCUGGAGCAGUCGAUUCACAAGUAUGCAGAGGAACCUGAUAAGAGUCUAGUACGUCCUGAACUUGGCCUCAGCUUUGAUUCGUUGGGCGAGGCCUACGAUUUCAUAAUUUGUACUCCCUCUGUAAACUAAUAUAAAAGCGUUUAGAUCACUAUUUUAGUAUUCUAAACACUUUUAUAUUAGUUUACGGAGGGAGUACUAUUGGGAGAUCGGUACUGGAAUAAGGUCCACCUAGAGGACAAAAUGCAUGCAGGAGAUCGUAUAUGGUUGCUCGGUGAGUACUGAAGUUGGUGCAAAAUUUUAAAAGUUCAUAUUGAAGAGAGGGGAGCGCCCAAGAAACCACGGAAGCCAGGACAAUGCUAGAACUGUGGGAUAGAAGGGCAUUGCAGGAACACUUGCACAAGACCACUGGGUGUUGCUGACAAAUGAGUUAUGAAUUUUCAGUUUCUAAUAUGUAGUGUUGUUAUUUCGGAGAUUUUCUAUUGUGUUUCAGUUGGGCACUUCUCCACGCUUGUUCCUCACUCUACAACGGCGUGUGACAUAGUGUAUCGUAGCAAAAACUAUGUUUAUGAUUGUCUGAACUCUGUUUGCUUAAGAGAUUUGCUUACACAGUACUUAAGUGGCGCGGGGGGCAUACCGCAGGGCAGUAUAAAGUGUACACAACGAGUAGCUGCUUUAGUGCCUACCACCAUUGUUGUCGAUUCAAAAAGAAUAGCAUUUUGCAUCUGCAUCCGAUGCGGUGGUGUUGCUGAAUCCGCCAGGAGUGGCACAGCCGGCGGAUUCAAGUCAUCUGCCUCUUCAUCCGUGGACUCUGCGCCGAAUGCAUGGAGACACAGCUGGCUGCAGUCAUCUGCCUCUUCAUCCGACUCUGCGCCGAACGCAUGGAGACACAGCUGCCGGCUCAAGUCGACGGAGUCAUGGGAGAGGUAA
rnacentral:rRNA from 1 species